AUUAUCAUUUUUUACUGAAUCCUUUUAUUACGGGUGAAUUUCAAGAUCAUAAUGCAUUGGAUUUUUUAAUUAUGCGUGAGAUUCGAAGUAUUAAAUCCAUUUUAGAAUAAACAAUAACAUUUAUUGAUAUCUUAAGUUGGCAUUUUGUUUAUCUCUACAUUUGAAUGAAGACAAAAAAAAAGUUGGAUGACGUAUGGCAACAUAGGAAUAAUUUUGUUAAAUUUCGAUCUGCAUUUAAAGUUCUCAGAUGAAUAUGGAAGCGCCAAUUUAUGAUAUCAAAAUGUAAUUUAGAAUCCAUGAUGAAGGAGGCACAUCAGAAAAAUGGAUCAGAUAAUUGGAUACAAGUGUAUCUGUGGAUAAAGAAUGGAGAGCUUGGUGAUUUUUACCAUAUGAACAGGAACAUUCUGGUCUGCAAAAUAAAUCAAAAUAGUCUUGCUAACAGGCAUGCUAAAGAUGGACAUAGGAUUACUAGAAAAUUUACAUUUUCUCAGAUAUUUCCACCUGAUUCAACUCAACUAGACAUAUUUAAUGCUGUUGUUAAACCGAGAAUCUUUAUUUUAUGAAUGGUGUAAAAUGUACUCUUCUAACCUAUGGACCCUCAGGAUCAGGAAAGACCUCUACUAUUGUUGGUUCUGGAACUGAACCAGGACUAAUACCAAGAGCACUGGAAUGUGUUUAAAACAUUAGCCAAAAUGCCUGUUGUACAGUUCAAAAGAUUAACACAUUCAUGAGGUCAGGAAGAAGUUGAUAUUGGAUAUGAAUGAAUCGGAUGUGAACGAUGAUGCACAUAAUAUAAUAUUUAUGGCUUGCAAAUUAUAUAUUUUAUAUAUGAAUUACGUCUACUUGAUUUCUGUCAAUGUACUGCAUCUUCAUCCUAAAUACUGGAGUCAGGAGAAUUAUUGUUGGUAUCACGUAUAGUUUAUCCACAGCUGUGUGAUUUUAUCAUAUUGACAAAAAUAGGUAUCAAUGGAAUUAUUUUCAAUAUGAAUUAAAUCAUUUCAUUUCUUAUUAAUAAUAAGUAAUUCAGUAAACACAAUACAAUGUGUCAUUGAUUUAUUUAGUCAUGUUUUGAUUUAUUUGAUAAUUUUCUAUCAAAAACAAAUAUUGUCAUACUCAUUUAUUGCAUCAGGGCAAACCUGGGGAGUGACAUUUUAUU